rnacentral:piRNA from 1 species
UGGUGGCCAAGUUAGGUUUAUUUAUAGCAUU